rnacentral:rRNA from 1 species
AUGGCCAGCCUUGCCAGAGUCUGUUCCCUCCUGCUUGUUGGCGUCGCCGUCGUCCUGCUCCUGCCGGGCACGUACGGGUCGUACAGCAACUGCCCGCCGGGACAUGGCGGCGGCGGUGGUGGUGAUCCCGGACACCACCAUCCGCCCCACCACGGCAAGCCGCCCAAGCACCACCACGGCCCACCGUCGGGCCACAAAUGCCCGCCGUGCCACCCGCCGCCCACGCCGCGGCCACCGCCGACUCCGCCGUACGGGCCUCCCACGCCACUGCCACCGCCGUACGUGCCGCCCACGCCGCUCCCACCGCCCUACACCCCGCCGACGCCACCGUACAUUCCACCAAGCCCGCCGUACGUGCCACCGACGCCACUUCCACCGCCGUACGUGCCACCAUACGUCCCGCCGACGCCGCCAUACACUCCGCCCUACGUCCCGCCAACUCCACCAUACACGCCGUCGCCGCCCUACGUGCCGCCGACACCGCCAUACACGCCGCCCUACGUGCCGCCGACACCGCCCUACACGCCGCCCUACGUGCCGCCGUCGCCGGGGCCGGGGAGGAAGACGUGCCCGAUCGACGCGCUGAAGCUGAACGCGUGCGUGGACGUGCUGAGCGGGCUGGUGCACCUGGUGAUCGGGCGGGAGGCGCGGAGCAAGUGCUGCCCGCUGGUGCAGGGGGUGGCGGACCUGGACGCGGCGCUGUGCCUCUGCACCACCAUCCGGGCGCGGGUCCUCAACAUCAACAUCUACCUCCCCGUGGCGCUCCGGCUGCUCAUCACCUGCGGCAAGCACCCGCCCAACGGCUUCCAGUGCCCCACCGUGCUCGACGCCUAG